GUGAGGGGGUGACUAGUGACAGAGUGAGGGAGCGAGUGACAGAGUUAGGGAGGGAGUGACUAGUGACAGAGAGAGGGAUGAGGUGACUAAUGACAGUCACCCCCCCCCUCACUCUGUCACCAGUCACCCCUUCCCUCCCUCACUUUGCCACUAGUCAUCUCUUCCCUCCCUCAUUCUGUCACUAGUCACCCACUCCCUCACUCUGUCACCAGUCACCCCCACUCAC